UCGAGGAUCUUCGGCAAUGGGCGCAAGCCUGACCGAGCGACGCCGCGUGAGCGAUGAAGGCCUUCGGGUUGUAAAGCUCUGUCGAGGGGGAGGAAGCCGAAAGGUUGACCUAUCCCUGGAGGAAGCACGGGCUAAGUUCGUGCCAGCAGCCGCGGUAAGACGAACCGUGCAAACGUUGUUCGGAAUCACUGGGCUUAAAGGGCGCGUAGGCGGGCUGUCAAGUCAGGAGUGAAAUCUUUCGGCUCAACCGGAAAACUGCUUUUGAUACUGACAGCCUCGAGGGAGGUAGGGGCAUGUGGAACUUCCGGUGGAGCGGUGAAAUGCGUUGAUAUCGGAAGGAACGCCGGUGGCGAAAGCGACGUGCUGGAUCUCUUCUGACGCUGAGGCGCGAAAGCUAGGGUAGCGAACGG
rnacentral:rRNA from 1 species